GAGAGUUUCAGCCUGGAGAGGACCACCCUGCUGGAAGGGUGUCCUGGGAAUGAAGUCCACGUAGGUGAGAACACACACCAGGGAUAUGUAGCUGGAUGGACUCAGCAGCCCUUGGGGAAUAAAGCCAGCUCAACUCAGCUGUACUUCUCACCACGUGGCAAAGGAUGGACCAAAGGCUGGGAGCAACUGGGAGUGUCUGGGAACACUUUCUGGUUGUCACAGUGAUCAGCAGCCAGGAGCAGCCUGCAAUGUGAAGACAGUCCUGUGGGACAGUCCUAGGCUACAGGGAACUGUCCUGCAUCCUGCAUGUCUUAUAAACAUCCUACUGGACGUCGAUGUUUGACUGUGCCCCAAGGAAGCCACACAAACUGUGUAGCCAGACAGUCUGUCUGGGAGGAGAAGGAAGGAAUUUAUCUACCAGCUCCCAUCUCUCAUGGACCAAAUUCUUCCCCACUGUACAUAACUCCAUAUCACUUUCAGAUUGCAUAAGUUGUCUGCUGUUCUUUCGGGAGAGGGCUUGAAGGUUGAUUUUAGUUCCCUGUAACUGGAGGUGACAUGUGAAAGCUCAAAGCUAUUGAAAAGUUGCAAAGGCUUCCACACACAACUGCAGUAGGGAGGGCGCAGGAAGUGGGUCAACGCUUUUGGAGGACUGGGUGAAGUUCAGGAUCCUGAGGCCCUACUUUUUGGUCGCCCAGGGUGAGAGCUGAAUGUAGGCUCCAACAGGAAGACGGCAUUGAAGCCUGGUUGCUUGUUACUACUCAGAAUGCCAUCUACAAAAGGAAAUUAUGUAAAAAGCAAUAAAGAACCCCUUUUGUUCUUGCAGGAGUCAGUGUUUCAUAACUCUUUCUGUGAUAUCGUCUGUAUAAGUUGAACCUCUAAAGAACCUUAUCUAAGUUGCCACGACCUUACUCAUUACCCUCAAGAAAGAUGAACAAUUUAAAGGGGGAAAAAAGGAAGUGAAAAAAAUGGCGGAUACGAGGCAGAACUAACCUGCAGCUUCCACUCGAAGGGACAGAGCAGAGUGUGGAGACCCACAACUGGAACUUUUUCUCCAAGAACUACCACAGGAACAUACCAAGAAAGCCAAGAGAAUCCACAGAACCUUUGGAGGAAGUGGUUUGUCACUGCAGGCUCUGUGGGACAGCUGAGGAACUGCCAGCGUCCUCUUUCCUGUGUUGGUCACAUCCUCAAAUGCCUUUGGGGCUGGAUGAACAGUCGGCUUGUGGGUUUUCAUGGUGAUUUCAACUAAUAUGUGGAAGGGAAGGAGGGGAAGAGGAAAGACUCGGUGAUGGCUACAGCAGGCAAACCAUAUGCCACCGCAUGGGCCUGAGGACAAUCUCGGACGUCUUGCAAACAAUCACCCACACAAGUGUCCUGAUGAGUGGCGACCUUCUCAGCGAGGACUGACAACCACACGGGUUCCUACUUCAUGACCAGACCAGGGUCACCAUGGAGACAUUUCUCAUUGGAUCAGCUUAUUAUGCCAUAGGAAACAUCUGAUUGAAAUGGAACUCACUGACCUAAAGCUCCUAAAAAAAAAUUUUCUAGGUCAGUGACAGACAAGUUGGCUGCUUCAAAAAAGGUCCUGAAAACUCAAGACAAUGGAACAAUGCCAAGCAGUAAGAUAUGGAUACAAUGAGUAAAAUCUAAAGAUUGGUUCCUUUAAGACAAAGGGAUCAACAUGUAAUAACUUGGAAAUAUAUAGCAAAGAGAGAGCCAAAGACGUCUUCUAGCCCUGCACUUUGCCUCCUACUAGAACCAGUGGGAAGAUGCUCCAGGAAGUUAGCAGAGUCAGUUACAGUUAACUGCAGCUCAGUGUAAGGAAGAAACUCAACAGUGGAGUCAUUUUGAGAGGGAAUAGGUUAUUCUGAAAAGUAGGGAGUUUCCCUUCCCUAUGGGAGUUGAAUCCAAGGUUGGAUCUUUUUU
rnacentral:lncRNA from 1 species